CCGCUCGACGAUGAUGACAUGGUCUCCUACAUCCUCGCUAGAUUAGACUAUGACUACAUCUCGUUUGUCUCUUCCAUCUGCGCUGCGAGGACCAAACCGAUCAAGG
rnacentral:snoRNA from 1 species